ACGCUGGCGGCGUGCUUAACACAUGCAAGUAAGGGGAAAGCCAUCUUCGGAUGGUGAGUAUAUGGCGAACGGGUGAGUAACGCGUAGGUAACCUGCCCUUCAGCCUGGGAUAACACUGCUAACGCGGUGCUAAUACCGGAUGGUGCUUUUCUGUCACCUGGCGGAGGAGUUAAAGCGGGCUUUGGCUCGUACUGAAGGAUGGACCUGCGUCUCAUUAGCUAGUUGGCGGGGUAACGGCCCACCAAGGCCACGAUGGGUAGCCGACCUGAGAGGGUGAUCGGCCACACUGGGACUGAGAUACGGCCCAGACUCCUACGGGAGGCAGCAGUGAGGAAUAUUGCGCAAUGGGCGAAAGCCUGACGCAGCAACGCCGUGUGCGGGAUGAAGCUUUUCGGAGUGUAAACCGCUGUUAACAGGGACGAAUACUCUUAAUUCGAAUAGGGUUAAGGGAUGACGGUACCUGUAGAGGAAGCCCCGGCUAACUCCGUGCCAGCAGCCGCGGUAACACGGGGGGGGCAAGCGUUGUCCGGAAUUAUUGGGCGUAAAGGGCGCGUAGGCGGGCUGAUCAGUCAGAGGUGAAAGUUUGCGGCUUAACCGUAAAUGUGCCUUUGAUACUGUCAGUCUUGAGUACGGAAGAGGGAAGUGGAAUUCCUGGUGUAGCGGUGAAAUGCGUAGAUAUCAGGAAGAACACCGGUGGCGAAGGCGGCUUCCUGGUCCGUAACUGACGCUGAGGCGCGAAAGCGUGGGUAGCGAACAGGAUUAGAUACCCUGGUAGUCCACGCCGUAAACGAUGUGCACUGGGUGUCGGCCCGUUGGGGUCGGUGCCGAAGCUAACGCGAUAAGUGCACCGCCUGGGGAGUAUGCUCGCAAGGGUGAAACUCAAAAGAAUUGACGGGGGCCCGCACAAGCGGUGGAGCAUGUGGUUUAAUUCGAUGAUACGCGAGAAACCUUACCAGGGCUUGACAUAUGUAGGACAGCGUUGGAGACAACGCCUCUCUUCGGAGCCUAUAUACAGGUGCUGCAUGGCUGUCGUCAGCUCGUGCUGUGAAGUGUUGGGUUAAGUCCCGCAACGAGCGCAACCCCUGCCAUCUGUUGCCAGCAUUUAGGAUGGGGACUCAGAUGGAACUGCCGGUGACAAACCGGAGGAAGGUGGGGACGACGUCAAGUCAUCAUGGCCCUUAUGUCCUGGGCUACACACGUGCUACAAUGAACGGUACAGAGCGCAGCAAGACCGCGAGGUCAAGCAAAUCGCAAAAAGCCGUUCUCAGUACAGAUUGGAGUCUGAAACCCGACUCCAUGAAGGUGGAAUCGCUAGUAAUCGCGCAUCAGCAUGGCGCGGUGAUACGUUCCCGGGCCUUGUACACACCGCCCGUCACGCCAUGGAAGUCGUAGCGCCCGAAGCCGGUGGCCCAAUUCUUCGGAAAGGGAGCCGUCGAAGGUGAGACCGAU
rnacentral:rRNA from 1 species